GGUUAAGCGACUAAGCGUACACGGUGGAUGCCCUGGCAGUCAGAGGCGAUGAAGGGCGUGCUAAUCUGCGAUAAGCGCCGGUAAGGUGAUAUGAACCGUUAUAACCGGCGAUACCCGAAUGGGGAAACCCAGUGUGACUCGUCACACUAUCAUUAACUGAAUCCAUAGGUUAAUGAGGCGAACCGGGGGAACUGAAACAUCUAAGUACCCCGAGGAAAAGAAAUCAACCGAGAUUCCCCCAGUAGCGGCGAGCGAACGGGGAGGAGCCCAGAGCCUGAAUCAGCAUGUGUGUUAGUGGAAGCGUCUGGAAAGGCGCGCGAUACAGGGUGACAGCCCCGUACACAAAAGCGCAUGUGCUGUGAGCUCGAUGAGUAGGGCGGGACACGUGGUAUCCUGUCUGAAUAUGGGGGGACCAUCCUCCAAGGCUAAAUACUCCUGACUGACCGAUAGUGAACCAGUACCGUGAGGGAAAGGCGAAAAGAACCCCGGCGAGGGGAGUGAAAAAGAACCUGAAACCGUGUACGUACAAGCAGUGGGAGCACAGGUUUACCUGUGUGACUGCGUACCUUUUGUAUAAUGGGUCAGCGACUUAUAUUCUGUAG
rnacentral:rRNA from 1 species